GAAUGGGAUUUGCAUAUAGCCGCUAGCUGGUCCCCAAAAGCCUCUUUCCUGGCUAUCUGGUCUGCAGAACCCUGACUAGUGACAAUUCCUCCAUGGAACCUCUUUUUCUAUUAUGAAACAAUUAUAUAAGUGCAUAUUCUGGGUAGGAAGUGCUUUCACACUCUAAAAACCCUCUUCUGUGAUGAAAUCUGGUUGUUUUCCUUUAAAGAUGAAAUAUAUUUCUACUGACCCCAAUGUGGAGAUCAAGUGAUUCUCACCUUGAAAGUAUCAUGGUUGGUCACUGUGAUCAGAACAAGAAAAUGCUGUGAUUUUUCUCUGCAACAGUAGGGCCGACUUGUCCUGAAAGCCGAAAGUCUUUGCAGCAAAAGGAAAGGGUGCAGUGGAUGACUCCUAGCCCUGAGAAUAACAUGAAUCUGGAAGCAUCUCCAGGUUUCUUCACAUGAGCUUACUAGCUUAAAUGAAAUUUAUUUGAACUAAAAAGGUGAAGGAU
rnacentral:lncRNA from 1 species